rnacentral:rRNA from 1 species
UAAAGCGAAUGAUUAGAGGCAUUGGGGUCGAAACGGCCUCAACCUAUUCUCAAACUUUAAAUGGGUGAGAUCUCCGGCUUGCUCGAACACGUGAAGCCGAGAGAUUUCGGAUCAGAGUGCCAAGUGGGCCACUUUUGGUAAGCAGAACUGGCGCUGUGGGAUGAACCAAACGCAGAGUUAAAGCGCCCAAAUCGACGCUUAUGGGAUACCAUGAAAGGCGUUGGUAACUUAAGACAGCAGGACGGUGGCCAUGGAAGUCGGAAUCCGCCAAGGAGUGUGUAACAACUCACCUGCCGAAGUUACUAGCCCUGAAAAUGGAUGGCGCUGAAGCGUCGUGCUUAUACUCUGCCGUCAGAGGCAUGUGCGGCGCGUCCGUCGUCACCUCGCGUGUCGGCAGCGACGCGCCAUGAGGCCCUGACGAGUAGGAGGGUCGCGACGGUGAGCGCAGAAGGACCGGGCGCGAGCCCGUCUGGAGCCGCCGUCGGUGCAGAUCUUGGUGGUAGUAGCAAAUACUCCAGCGAGGCCCUGGAGGACUGACGUGGAGAAGGGUUUCGUGUGAACAGCCGUUGCACACGAGUCAGUCGAUCUUAAGCCCUAGGCGAAAGCCGAUGUCGAUGCAGGUGUACAGUAACUCUCAGAAACUCUAUCUCGAUGGAGGAGCGGUUUUUCACACCCUCGGGGCGAAAGGGAAUCCGGUUCCUAUUCCGGAACCCGGCAGCGGAACCGCCAAUACGUCGGGCCCUCGCAAGAGAGUUCGUCGGGGUAACCCAAAGAGACCUGGAGACGCCGUCGGGAGAUCCGGGAAGAGUUUUCUUUUCUGCAUAAGCGCUCGAGUUCCAUGGAAUCCUCUAGCAGGGAGAUAUGGUUUGGAGCGCGAAGAGCACCGCAGUUGCGGCGGUGUCCGGAUCGUCCCCUCGGACCUUGAAAAUCCAGGAGAGGGCCACGUGGAGGAUCGCGCCGGUUCGUACCCAUAUCCGCAGCAG